rnacentral:rRNA from 1 species
UACGUAGGGGGCGAGCGUUGUCCGGAUUUAUUGGGCGUAAAGAGCGUGUAGGCGGCCAGGUAGGUCUGCUGUGAAAACUCGAGGCUCAACCUCGAGACGUCGGCGGAAACCAUCUGGCUAGAGUCCGGAAGAGGAGAGUGGAAUUCCUGGUGUAGCGGUGAAAUGCGCAGAUAUCAGGAAGAACACCCGUGGCGAAGGCGGCUCUCUGGGACGGUACUGACGCUGAGGAGCGAAAGUGUGGGGGAGCGAACAGG